AUGGAUCAGGAGCUGAUUGAGCACCUUGAGGCCAAAGUGAGUGCUAACAGCGCGAGAUUUCAGUCUCUCAUCGAUUUGUUCAUACCAACCAUCGACAGCGAGCACAGCAUAUGCUCCACCCAACCUGAGAAACUUCCAGAUGUUAUGAAAUGCCAACUACGUACACUAAAACCUGUAUUCCACAAUACUGCACGUAUCACACUGAGUGGCCUAAGGAAGCAAUUCUUCCAGCGCAAUUCCAGGGCGUUCAAAAGGGGCACAUGGACACGUCGCAAGAUACAGCCGGAGUGCGGCAUGCAUGCGAUGUGGCAUAAGACCGGCAAUACCUUGCCGGUGAUGGUCAAUGGCCGGCAGACGGGCAGCAAAAAAGGUUCUGGUGCUGCACACCAACAAGAACUUCGACCAGCAGAGGACCAACUAGGUGAUGCUCCAGUACCACCUCGGGGACCUGGAGAAAGAGAAGGAGCGGGAACUGGUCCUCUGCAAGAUUUUCUACCAGACGAACACUAG
rnacentral:rRNA from 1 species